GUGGGGAAUAUUGGACAAUGGGCGAAAGCCUGAUCCAGCCAUGCCGCGUGUGUGAAGAAGGUCUUCGGAUUGUAAAGCACUUUAAGUUGGGAGGAAGGGCAGUAAGUUAAUACCUUGCUGUUUUGACGUUACCGACAGAAUAAGCACCGGCUAACUUCGUGCCAGCAGCCGCGGUAAUACGAAGGGUGCAAGCGUUAAUCGGAAUUACUGGGCUUAAAGCGCGCGUAGGUGGUUUUGUAAGUUGGAGGUGAAAUCCCCGGGCUCAACCUGGGAACUGCCUCCAAAACUGCAUGACUAGAGUACGGUAGAGGGUAGGUGAAUUUCCUGUGUAGCGGUGAAAUGCGUAGAUAUAGGAAGGAACACCAGUGGCGAAGGCGACUACCUGGACUGAUACUGACACUGAGGUGCGAAAGCGUGGGGAGCAAACAGGAUUAGAUACCCCAGUAGUCC
rnacentral:rRNA from 1 species